GUGCCAGCAGCCGCGGUAAUACGGAGGGUCCGAGCGUUAUCCGGAAUCAUUGGGUUUAAAGGGUCCGCAGGCGGUCAAUUAAGUCAGAGGUGAAAUCCCAUAGCUUAACUAUGGAACUGCCUUUGAUACUGGUUGACUUGAGUCAUAUGGAAGUAGAUAGAAUGUGUAGUGUAGCGGUGAAAUGCAUAGAUAUUACACAGAAUACCGAUUGCGAAGGCAGUCUACUACGUAUGUACUGACGCUGAGGGACGAAAGCGUGGGGAGCGAACAGGAUUAGAUACCCUGGUAGUCCACGCCGUAAACGAUGGAUACUAGUUGUUGGGCAUUAGCUCAGUGACUAAGCGAAAGUGAUAAGUAUCCCACCUGGGGAGUACGGUCGCAAGACUGAAACUCAAAGGAAUUGACGGGGGCCCGCACAAGCGGUGGAGCAUGUGGUUUAAUUCGAUGAUACGCGAGGAACCUUACCAGGGCUUAAAUGUAGUCUGACAGCUUUAGAGAUAGAGUUUUCUUCGGACAGAUUACAAGGUGCUGCAUGGUUGUCGUCAGCUCGUGCCGUGAGGUGUCAGGUUAAGUCCUAUAACGAGCGCAACCCCUGUCAUUAGUUGCCAGCAUGUAAAGAUGGGGACUCUAAUGAGACUGCCGGUGCAAACCGCGAGGAAGGUGGGGAUGACGUCAAAUCAUCACGGCCCUUACGUCCUGGCCACACACGUGCUACAAUGGUAUGGACA
rnacentral:rRNA from 1 species